ensembl:snoRNA
UUGCACAGCGAACACCCAAGUGUGCUUUGUAGUUCCCUUGGUUUCAGUUCUGUGCUAGAUUAAUCUGUACUUUUCCUCUGCAUUGGAAGGAUUUGCAUUCCUUUUACAUGUAUUCAGAAGGACAGAACACUU